CACUCUUCCCUCUGUCCCCUAGGUGCUGGGUUCAAAGGCUUGUGCCACUAUCCCCAUCUUUAGGGACCCUUAAUACCACACUUGCUCUUUCCAGGGCUCCUGCCUCUCACUCAGCUCUAAAGGAGGAAACAAAAGUAUGGUACCCUGCCUGCCCCAUGCGCCCAAACUGGAGCACCCUUGUAAAUGAGCAACCCAGCUUGGCCACUACCAAGGGCUUCUCACCCAGCCAGGCGCGGUACUGCUCCAGAGGCACGCCUUCCAUAGGUUCCUCUUCAUUAUCCACCACCAUCAGGGGAGACGGUGAGCGAGGCCC
rnacentral:lncRNA from 1 species